UNCGGGCNGCUACACAUGCAGUCGAGCGGAUGAGAAGAGCUUGCUCUUCGAUUCAGCGGCGGACGGGUGAGUAAUGCCUAGGAAUCUGCCUGGUAGUGGGGGACAACGUUUCGAAAGGAACGCUAAUACCGCAUACGUCCUACGGGAGAAAGCAGGGGACCUUCGGGCCUUGCGCUAUCAGAUGAGCCUAGGUCGGAUUAGCUAGUUGGUGAGGUAAUGGCUCACCAAGGCUACGAUCCGUAACUGGUCUGAGAGGAUGAUCAGUCACACUGGAACUGAGACACGGUCCAGACUCCUACGGGAGGCAGCAGUGGGGAAUAUUGGACAAUGGGCGAAAGCCUGAUCCAGCCAUGCCGCGUGUGUGAAGAAGGUCUUCGGAUUGUAAAGCACUUUAAGUUGGGAGGGAGGGCAGUAAGCUAAUACCUUGCUGUUUUGACGUUACCGACAGAAUAAGCACCGGCUAACUCUGUGCCAGCAGCCGCGGUAAUACAGAGGGUGCAAGCGUUAAUCGGAAUUACUGGGCGUAAAGCGCGCGUAGGUGGUUUGUUAAGUUGGAUGUGAAAGCCCCGGGCUCAACCUGGAACUGCAUCCAAAACUGGCAAGCUAGAGUAUGGUAGAGGGUGGUGGAAUUUCCUGUGUAGCGGUGAAAUGCGUAGAUAUAGGAAGGAACACCAGUGGCGAAGGCGACCACCUGGACUGAUACUGACACUGAGGUGCGAAAGCGUGGGGAGCAAACAGGAUUAGAUACCCUGGUAGUCCACGCCGUAAACGAUGUCGACUAGCCGUUGGGAGCCUUGAGCUCUUAGUGGCGCAGCUAACGCAUUAAGUCGACCGCCUGGGGAGUACGGCCGCAAGGUUAAAACUCAAAUGAAUUGACGGGGGCCCGCACAAGCGGUGGAGCAUGUGGUUUAAUUCGACGCAACGCGAAGAACCUUACCUACUCUUGA
rnacentral:rRNA from 1 species